rnacentral:rRNA from 1 species
AUUGAACGCUGGCGGCAGGCCUAAAACAUGCAAGUCGAGCGGAGCGGCGGACGGGUGAGUAAUGCCUAGAAAUCUGCCUGGUAGUGGGGGAUAACGUCAGGAAACGGGCGCUAAUACCGAAUACUAUCAGAUGAGCCUAGGUCGGAUUAGCUAGUUGGUGGGGUAAAGGCCUACAAAGGGGAAGAUCCGUAACUGGUCUCAGAGGAUGAUCAGUCAAACGGGAACUGAGACACGGUCCAUACUCUUACGGGAAGCAGCAGUGGGGAAUAUUGGACAAGGGGCGAAAGCCUGAUCCAGCAGUGCCGCGUGUGUGAAGAAGGUCUUCGGAUUGUAAAGCACUGUAAGUUGGGAGGCGUUACCAACAGAAUAAGCACCAGCUCUCUUCUUGCCAGCCGCCGCGGUAAUAC